GUGCCAGCAGCCGCAGUAAUACAUAGGGGUCAAGCGUUGUCCGGAUUUAUUGGGCGUAAAGAGCCCGUAGGCGGCUCAACAAGUCGGUCGUAAAAGUUUAGGGCUCAACCCUAAAAUGUCGAUCGAUACUGUUGUGACUAGGAUACGGUAGAGGUGAAUGGAAUUCCGAGUGUAGCGGUGAAAUGCGUAGAUAUUCGGAGGAACACCAAUUGCGAAGGCAGUUCACUGGACCGUGAUCGACACUGAGGAACGAAAGCAUGGGUAGCGAAGAGGAUUAGAUA
rnacentral:rRNA from 1 species